GGGGUUGAUCCUGGCGGAGGCUACUGCUAUUGGGAUUCGAUUAAGCCACGCGAGUAGAAUGAAUUUAGAUUCAUGGCGUACGGCUCAGUAACACGUGGAUAACUUACCCUUAUGACUGGGAUAACUCUGGGAAACUGGGGAUAAUACCGGAUAUUAGGCUAUGGCUGGAAUGCUUUGCCUUUGAAAUGUUUCUUGUAUUCGCCUAAGGAUAGAUCUGCGGCUGAUUAGGCCGAUGGUGGGUUAAUGGCCCACCAAGCCUAUGAUCGGUACUGGUUGCGAGAGCAAGAUCCCUGAUAUGGAACUUGAGAGUAGGUUUCAGACCCGUCAGUGUGCUCCGGUCGCGAAUACUCCGCAAUGUUCGAAAGUGUUAACGGGUGGAUCCCCAGUGUUAUUCUUCAAACGAUUAACUUUUCAUUACUUGUAAAAAGUUUUUAGAAUAAAACCUGGUCGAAACCUGUAGCAGACUCCUACUGAAACACAUGCUAUUCAGGCGGUUGCGUGUUCUUUCGAGGGGGCCUAAAGCGCUUUUCGCCCCGGUGGAUAAUUGUUACGUGAACAGCCUAUUUCAUUGAUUGUAAGAAGUGCAGUAGAUGCUGCACAAACUAGGAGUCUGGAGGAAGUUCUAGGACUUACAUGGAGAUGGGGGUAAAUUCUCAAAAAUUUGAGCAGGACUCCUCUGG
rnacentral:rRNA from 1 species